AUUGAACGCUGGCGGCAGGCCUAACACAUGCAAGUCGAACGAGUGGCGGACGGGUGAGUAAUGUCUGGGAAACUGCCUGAUGGAGGGGGAUAACUACUGGAAACGGUAGCUAAUACCGCAUACCAUCAGAUGUGCCCAGAUGGGAUUAGCUUGUCGGUGGGGUAAGGGCUCACCAAGGCGACGAUCCCCAGCUGGUCUGAGAGGAUGACCCGCAACACUGGAACUGAGAAACGGUCCAGACUCCUCCGGGGGGCGGCAGUGGGGAAUAUUGCACAAUGGGGGCAAGCCUGAUGCGGCCAUGCCGGGUGUUUGAGGAAGGCCUUCGGGUGGUAAAGUACUUUCAGCGGGAAGGCGUUACCCGCAGAAGAAGCACCGGCUAACUCCGUGCCAGCAGCCGCGGUAAUAC
rnacentral:rRNA from 1 species